UAAAGACCAAGUCAGUAGCUUAGCAUGUUUUAGAAUCCUGAAUUUCCCCUUGCUCCUUAGUUGUUUUGCUUUCUCUAGAAAUACUUCACUUGUCACAUAUUUUUGCAGAUAUUCUCUAUCUAGGAGGUGCUGUGGGAAACCUAAGAUGACUUUGCAAGAUGUCAGAGGAGUUAGUUAUAACUCAUUUAUAGUUCAUGUUCUCAGUCUUUGAGCUGUCUCUUGUCUUGAAAUGUAAAUUCUUUGGGGAAAGAAUUAACCUCUUACAUGUUUGUAUAAACAUCUAGUACAUGAAGCACCAGAUCUACAGAAAUUCUGAUUUGUUCUUCAGAGACUGAUUUACCACAAUAUCUUUAGUAGACUGGAACAUGAACUAAACAGAUAGUAUAGGAAAUGUGUAUUCUGAUCCAUUCAGUGAUGUAACUUUCACAUCAUUCUUCCUAUAAUGAAACCAAGAAAUCAGUUUGUGGCACAAGUUUGGCAUGGAGCUGGUAUACCUUUGGGUACUUGAAAGGCAGUGUGCAAGUUGAGACCUGUCACAUCAAAAAAACACCUGCUGUGGCCACCACUGGUAGAUAAUAAUCACACGGACGUACUCCACACGUAGCAACUGCAGUGCUAUAACCGUGUCGGCGUGGAGAACCUGGCAGCCAAAGCACUGUCACCACCUGCCUUUCGUGCAAAGCUGAAGGGCCAGGGCAUUGCGGCUCAGGUCCUCGCUAAACAGAGGAAGAUUCUGGAGCGGAAAAAAGAUGCCAGCAUAGAAAAGUCCGCUUGGGACAUACUAGUACACAAGGAAAAAUAAGAAAAAGACAUGUCUGGCCAUGCUACCGCCUCUGUAAAAUGUGACUUAGAUGUUUAGAUACGCUGGUUACUAGGGUGCUAUAAAUACACAGCAAGAGCUGUUAGUGGCUCCAAACAACUGAUAUUAAUGUUUCAAGAUGAGCUAUAGGUAGAGCAGAAGUGCACAGAAC